rnacentral:rRNA from 1 species
AGCGGAGGAAAAGAAACCAACAGGGAUUGCCCCAGUAACGGCGAGUGAAGCGGCAACAGCUCAAAUUUGAAAUCUGGCCCCAGGCCCGAGUUGUAAUUUGCAGAGGAUGCUUUUGGCGCGGUGCCUUCCGAGUUCCCUGGAACGGGACGCCAUAGAGGGUGAGAGCCCCGUACGGUUGGACACCAAGCCUUUGUAAAGCUCCUUCGACGAGUCGAGUAGUUUGGGAAUGCUGCUCUAAAUGGGAGGUACAUUUCUUCUAAAGCUAAAUAUUGGCCAGAGACCGAUAGCGCACAAGUAGAGUGAUCGAAAGAUGAAAAGCACUUUGAAAAGAGGGUUAAACAGCACGUGAAAUUGUUAAAAGGGAAGCGCUUGUGACCAGACUUGCGUCCGGUGAAUCACCCAGCUCUCGCGGCUGGGGCACUUCGCCGGCACAGGCCAGCAUCAGCUUGCCGUCGGGGACAAAAGCUUCAGGAACGUGGCUCCUCUCGGGGAGUGUUAUAGCCUGUUGCACAAUACCCUUCGGCGGGCUGAGGUACGCGCUCCGCAAGGAUGCUGGCG